UUUCCGUAGGUGAACCUGCGGAAGGAUCAUUAACGUAUCUCUGACGGGGCGCGGUCGCCCUGCUCCGGUCCCCUAGGGGUCGUGCAGCGGGUGACCGUCCCUACUCAAACCUUCACAAACCCACCGUGAACCUUCACGACGGAAGGGCGUCGCCGCCCGGAAGUCGCAUACCAAACCCCAGUUGCAAAGAAUGUAAUGCGGACUCUGUGCCGCCUAAACACAUAACAACUUUCAACAACGGAUCUCUUGGCUCUCGCAUCGAUGAAAACGCAGC
rnacentral:misc_RNA from 1 species